GACGAACGCUGGCGGCGUGCCUAAUACAUGCAAGUCGAGCGGACGGAUGGGAGCUUGCUCCCAGACCGUCAGCGGCGGACGGGUGAGUAACACGUGGGCAACCUGCCUGUAAGACUGGGAUAACUCCGGGAAACCGGGGCUAAUACCGGAUAACUCUUUCCCUCACAUGAGGGAAAGCUGAAAGAUGGCAUCUCGCUAUCACUUACAGAUGGGCCCGCGGCGCAUUAGCUAGUUGGUAAGGUAACGGCUCACCAAGGCGACGAUGCGUAGCCGACCUGAGAGGGUGAUCGGCCACACUGGGACUGAGACACGGCCCAGACUCCUACGGGAGGCAGCAGUAGGGAAUCUUCCGCAAUGGACGAAAGUCUGACGGAGCAACGCCGCGUGAGUGAUGAAGGUUUUCGGAUCGUAAAACUCUGUUGUCAGGGAAGAACAAGUACCGGAGUAACUGCCGGUACCUUGACGGUACCUGACCAGAAAGCCACGGCUAACUACGUG
rnacentral:rRNA from 1 species